CUGAAUAACUGAGCAGAUCGCUUCGGUCUCGUACCGGCGAUGUAUCCUUCAAGUGUCUGCCUUAUCAACUUUCGAUGGUAGUUUAUGUGCCUACCAUGGUUGUAACGGGUAACGGAGAAUUAGGGUUCGAUUCCGGAGAGGGAGCCUGAGAAACGGCUACCACUUCUAAGGAAGGCAGCAGGCGCGCAAAUUACCCACUCUCGGCAAGAGGAGGUAGUGACGAAAAAUAACGAGACGAUUCUCUUUUGAGUAUCGUCAUCGGAAUGAGAACAAUCUAAAUCCUUUAACGAGGACCUAGCGGAGGGCAAGUCUGGUGCCAGCAGCCGCGGUAAUUCCAGCUCCGCCAGUGUAUAUCUAUGCUGCUGCGGUUAAAAAG
rnacentral:rRNA from 1 species